AAUACAUGCAAGUUGAGCGAUGAAGAUUGGUGCUUGCACCAAUUUGAAGAGCAGCGAACGGGUGAGUAACGCGUGGGGAAUCUGCCUUUGAGCGGGGGACAACAUUUGGAAACGAAUGCUAAUACCGCAUAACAACUUUAAACAUAAGUUUUAAGUUUGAAAGAUGCAAUUGCAUCACUCAAAGAUGAUCCCGCGUUGUAUUAGCUAGUUGGUGAGGUAAAGGCUCACCAAGGCGAUGAUACAUAGCCGACCUGAGAGGGUGAUCGGCCACAUUGGGACUGAGACACGGCCCAAACUCCUACGGGAGGCAGCAGUAGGGAAUCUUCGGCAAUGGACGAAAGUCUGACCGAGCAACGCCGCGUGAGUGAAGAAGGUUUUCGGAUCGUAAAACUCUGUUGGUAGAGAAGAACGUUGGUGAGAGUGGAAAGCUCAUCAAGUGACGGUAACUACCCAGAAAGGGACGGCUAACUACGUGCCAGCAGCCGCGGUAAUACGUAGGUCCCGAGCGUUGUCCGGAUUUAUUGGGCGUAAAGCGAGCGCAGGUGGUUUAUUAAGUCUGGUGUAAAAGGCAGUGGCUCAACCAUUGUAUGCAUUGGAAACUGGUAGACUUGAGUGCAGGAGAGGAGAGUGGAAUUCCAUGUGUAGCGGUGAAAUGCGUAGAUAUAUGGAGGAACACCGGUGGCGAAAGCGGCUCUCUGGCCUGUAACUGACACUGAGGCUCGAAAGCGUG
rnacentral:rRNA from 1 species